rnacentral:rRNA from 1 species
CCUGCAUGAAGCUGGAAUUGCUAGUAAUCGCGGAUCAGCAAGCCGCGGUGAAUACGUUCCCGGGCCUUGUACACACCGCCCGUCACACCAUGAGAGUCGGAACACCCGAAGUCCGUAGUCUAACCGCAAGGGGGCGCGGCCGAAGGUGGGUCCGGUAAUUGGGGUNAAGUCGUAACAAGGUACC